AGAAAACACAAAAUGGAGAUACGGAGUGAUCAGAUUUGAAAUGAAAUCACAAAACUAAAAACAACACCAACAUCUUGGACCAAUAUGUUGCAUCCUAUUCUCUCUUACCUGAUUGCUGCUUUGCUGAGAGGGUCCAUCUGUUGUUUGGUGUCGUAUUUGUGCGUUGGGGCUACUCUUCCUCUUUUUAUACGCACAAGCCCCCUC